rnacentral:rRNA from 1 species
AGUGGACGCUGGCGGCGUGCUUAACACAUGCAAGUCGAACGAGAAACGGAUUUAGCUUGCUAAAUUGCAGUCUAAGUGGCGCACGGGUGAGUAAUGUAUAGAUAAUAUGCCUUUUACUAAGGGAUAACAGUUGGAAACGGCUGCUAAUACCUCAUAUGCCUUUAAUACAUAAGUAUGCAAGGGAAAGAUUUAUUGGUAAAAGAUUAGUCUGUAUUGUAUCAGUUAGUUGGUGAGGUAAUGGCUCACCAAGACUAUGACGCAUAACUGGUUUGAGAAGAUGAUCAGUCACACUGGAACUGAGGCACGGUCCAGACUCCUACGGGAGGCAGCAGUGGGGAAUAUUGCACAAUGGGGGAAACCCUGAUGCAGCAACGCCGCGUGGAGGAUGACACAUUUCGGUGCGUAAACUCCUUUUAUAUAGGAAGAUAAUGACGGUACUAUAUGAAUAAGCACCGGCUAACUCCGUGCCAGCAGCCGCGGUAA